UACGGAGGGGGCAAGCGUUGUUCGGAGUUACUGGGCGUAAAGGGCGCGUAGGCGGUGCAACAAGUCAGGCGUGAAAGCCCCCGGGCUUAACCUGGGAAUUGCGCUUGAAACUGCUAAGCUAGAAUCCUGGAGAGGCGAGUGGAAUUCCGAGUGUAGAGGGUGAAAUUCGUAGAUAUUCGGAAAGAACACCAGUGGCGAAGGCGGACUCGCUGGACAGGUAUGACGCUGAGGUGCGAAAGCGUGGGGAGCAAACAGGA
rnacentral:rRNA from 1 species